rnacentral:rRNA from 1 species
CACGUAGGGGCCAAGCGUUGUCCGGAUUCAUUGGGCGUAAAGAGCUCGUAGGCGGUUCAGUUAGUCGGGUGUGAAAUCUCCGGGCUCAACCCGGAGGGGCCACCCGAUACUGCUGUGACUCGAGUCCGGUAGGGGAGUGGGGAAUUCCUGGUGUAGCGGUGAAAUGCGCAGAUAUCAGGAAGAACACCCGUGGCGAAAGCGGCUCUCUGGAACGGUACUGACGCUGAGACGCGAAAGCGUGGGGAGCGAACAGG